UACGAAGGGGGCGAGCGUUGUUCGGAAUUACUGGGCGUAAAGGGCGCGUAGGCGGCCGAUCAAGUUAGAUGUGAAAGUCCUGGGCUUAGCCUGGGGACUGCAUUUGAUACUGAUUGGCUUGAAUUCGGGAGAGGAUAGCGGAAUUCCCAGUGUAGAGGUGAAAUUCGUGGAUAUUGGGAAGAACACCGGUGGCGAAGGCGGCUAUCUGGACCGACAUUGACGCUGAGGCGCGAAAGCGUGGGGAGCAAACAGG
rnacentral:rRNA from 1 species